UACGAAGGGUGCAAGCGUUACUCGGAAUUACUGGGCGUAAAGCGUGCGUAGGUGGUUUGUUAAGUCUGUUGUGAAAGCCCCGGGCUCAACCUGGGAAUGGCAAUGGAUACUGGCAGGCUAGAGUGCGGUAGAGGGUAGUGGAAUUCCCGGUGUAGCGGUGAAAUGCGUAGAGAUCGGGAGGAACACCAGUGGCGAAGGCAGCUCGCUGGGACGGUACUGACGCUGAGGCGCGAAAGCGUGGGGAGCAAACAGG
rnacentral:rRNA from 1 species